rnacentral:rRNA from 1 species
AUUGAACGCUGGCGGCAGGCCUAACACAUGCAAGUCGAGCGGAGCGUGGGACGGGUGAGUGAUGCCUGGGGAUCUGCCUGGUGGUGGGGGAUAACGUCCGGAAACGGGAGCUAAUACCACAUACUAGCAGAUGAGCCUCGGUCGGCUUGGCUAGUUGGAGGGGUAAAGGCCUCCCAAGGCGACGAUGCGUAGCUGGUCUGAGAGGAUGAUGCGUCACACUGGGACUGAGACACGGCCCAGACUCCUACGGGAGGCAGCAGUGGGGAAUAUUGGACAAUGGGCGAAAGCCUGAUGCAGCCAUGCCGCGUGUGUGAAGAAGGUCUUCGGAUUGUAAAGCACUUUAAGUUGGGAGGCGUUACCAACAGAAGAAGCACCGGCUAACUUCGUGCCAGCCGCCGCGGUAAUUC